rnacentral:rRNA from 1 species
AGCGGCGGACGGGUGAGUAACACGUAGGCAACCUGCCCUCAAGACUGGGAUAACUACCGGAAACGGUAGCUAAUACCGGAUAAUUUCUUUCCUCUCCUGAAGAGAGAAUGAAAGGCGGAGCAAUCUGCCACUUGGGGAUGGGCCUGCGGCGCAUUAGCUAGUUGGUGGGGUAACGGCCCACCAAGGCGACGAUGCGUAGCCGACCUGAGAGGGUGAACGGCCACACUGGGACUGAGACACGGCCCAGACUCCUACGGGAGGCAGCAGUAGGGAAUCUUCCGCAAUGGGCGCAAGCCUGACGGAGCAAUGCCGCGUGAGUGAUGAAGGUUUUCGGAUCGUAAAGCUCUGUUGCCAGGGAAGAACGUCCGGUAGAGUAACUGCUGCCGGAGUGACGGUACCUGAGAAGAAAGCCCCGGCUAACUACGUGCCAGCAGCCGCGGUAAUACGUAGGGGGCAAGCGUUGUCCGGAAUUAUUGGGCGUAAAGCGCGCGCAGGCGGUUAUUUAAGUCUGGUGUUUAAACCUUGGGCUCAACCUGAGGUCGCACUGGAAACUGGGUAACUUGAGUACAGAAGAGGAAAGUGGAAUUCCACGUGUAGCGGUGAAAUGCGUAGAUAUGUGGAGGAACACCAGUGGCGAAGGCGACUUUCUGGGCUGUAACUGACGCUGAGGCGCGAAAGCGUGGGGAGCAAACA